rnacentral:rRNA from 1 species
UACGGAGGGCGCAAGCGUUGUUCGGAAUCAUUGGGCGUAAAGCGCGUGUAGGCGGUUUGGUAAGUCGGGUGUGAAAUCCCGGGGCUCAACCCCGGAACUGCAUUCGAAACUGCCUGGCUAGAGUCCCGGAGGGGAGGGCGGAAUUCCCGGUGUAGAGGUGAAAUUCGUAGAUAUCGGGAGGAACACCAGCGGCGAAGGCGGCCCUCUGGACGGUGACUGACGCUGAGACGCGAAAGCGUGGGGAGCAAACAGG